rnacentral:rRNA from 1 species
CUACGGGAGGCACCAGUGGGGAAUAUUGCACAAUGGGCGCAAGCCUGAUGCAGCCAUGCCGCGUGUAUGAAGAAGGCCUUCGGGUUGUAAAGUACUUUCAGCGGGGAGGAAGGGAGUAAAGUUAAUACCUUUGCUCAUUGACGUUACCCGCAGAAGAAGCACCGGCUAACUCCGUGCCAGCAGCCGCGGUAAUACGGAAGGUGCAAGCGUUAAUCGGAAUUACUGGGCGUAAAGCGCACGCAGGCGGUUUGUUAAGUCAGAUGUGAAAUCCCCGGGCUCAACCUGGGAACUGCAUCUGAUACUGGCAAGCUUGAGUCUCGUAGAGGGGGGUAGAAUGCCAGGUGUAGCGGUGAAAUGCGUAGAGAUCUGGAGGAAUACCGGUGGCGAAGGCGGCCCCCUGGACGAAGACUGACGCUCAGGUGCGAAAGCGUGGGGAGCAAACAGGAUUAGAUACCCCGGUAGUC